AGAGAGAGACAUGCGCGCAUAUCAAUAAGCGGAGGAAAAGAAACUAACAAGGAUUCCCCUAGUAACGGCGAGUGAAGCGGGAAGAGCUCAAAUUUGAAAUCUUAAAGGGUUUCCCUUUACGAAUUGUAGUUUAAAGAAGUGUUUUCUGUUGAGGUUUUGGUAAAAGUUCUUUGGAAUAGGACAUCAUAGAGGGUGAGAAUCCCGUAUUUGACCUUUACUUUCAACUUUGUGAUACACUUUCAAGGAGUCGGAUUGUUUGGGAAUGCAGUCCAAAAUGGGUGGUAAAUUUCAUCUAAAGCUAAAUAUUGGCGAGAGACCGAUAGCGAACAAGUACCGUGAGGGAAAGAUGAAAAGAACUUUGAAAAGAGAGUUAAACAGUACGUGAAAUUGUCAAAAGGGAAGCGUUUGACACCAGUGUUGUUUUUCUGAAAAUCAAUUAAAGAACUGUUUAUGCUAAGUUGUUUAGACUUUAUCAGCUAACUGUUUAGUUUUGAGCUUUUCUUUAAUGCACUUUUCAGUUAACAAGUCAACAUCAAUUUCUUUUGCUGUAAAAAAGCUUGAGGAAGGUGGCUUGAGAUUCGUCUUAAGUGUUUAUAGCCUCUUGCCUAUGCAGUCGGAGAGAUUGAGGUCUGCAGCGUAGAUCCUUCGGGGCUAAAUGCAUUUGUGCUAAGUUAUAGCAUUUUAUAGACAACUUGUUGACUAUGAUUUGUCUUGUAGCUUACUCGCUUAUGUUAUUUUACCUACGCUUAGGAUGUUGAAGACUCUACAGAGAU
rnacentral:rRNA from 1 species